AAACUUACCUGGCAGGGGAGACACCAUGAUCACAAAGGUAGUUCUCCCAGGGCGAGGCUCACCCAUUGCACUCCAGAUGUGCUGACCCUGCGAUUUCCCCAAAUGACUUAUUGGAGAAAUGCAAAUUAGAAACUAUGAGAUAUCACUACAUAGCUGUC